CCUUUGCUUUUUCUCACAAUUUCUUCCCCAAUACUUAACAAGUUUUUAUUGGGCUUCUCUUUACGUUCUAUAAAUGCACAUCUAGUAAACAAAGCCACACUCUUAUCAUGCGGAAGACCUGAUAACUCACAUGGUUUUGGAAUGGUGCCCAUAAUGAAGGCUACUUUCUUACUACGCGUAGUUACUAAAAUUUUGCUUCCAUUAGCACCUGUAACCAAAAGCUCUUGUAAUUGAUCCCACCUCAUAGAAUCUUCAUUCCACACGUCAUCUAAAAUGAGAAAGUAUUUUUUAUCACCAAUUUUUUCUCGCAAGAUUUUUUGCAAUUGUUCCACUUCCAAAUUGCUUCUGUUCUCUCCAUCACUGGUGGCACAUUUAAUAAUUUUCUCAAUCAAAUUUUUUAUGUCAAAAUCUUCUGAUACACAUACCCACAUCUGAAGUUGAAAAUGAUCUUGUACUCGUUUAUCAUUAUAAACUAAUUUAGAGAG
rnacentral:misc_RNA from 1 species